UACGGGGGGGGGCAAGCGUUGUUCGGAAUUACUGGGCGUAAAGGGUUUGUAGGUGGCUUGUUAAGUCAGACGUGAAAUCCCUCAGCUUAACUGGGGAACUGCGUCUGAUACUGGCGAGCUUGAGUGCAGGAGAGGAACGCGGAAUUCCAGGUGUAGCGGUGAAAUGCGUAGAUAUCUGGAGGAACACCGGUGGCGAAGGCGGCUCACUGGACCGGUACUGACGCUGAUGCGCGAAAAGCGUGGGGGAGCAAACGGG
rnacentral:rRNA from 1 species